UGGGGUGUGGCUCAGAAGUAGAGCACUUGCCUAGCAUGUGUGAGGCACUGGGUUCAAUCCUCAGCACCACAU
rnacentral:tRNA from 1 species